AUUGAACGCUGGCGGCAGGCCUAACACAUGCAAGUCGAGCGGGGUUUUCGGACCUAGCGGCGGACGGGUGAGUAAUGCGUAGGAAGCUGCCCGAUAGAGGGGGGUACCAGUUGGAAACGACUGUUAAUACCGCAUAAUGUCUACGGACCAAAGUGUGGGACCUUCGGGCCACAUGCUAUCGGAUGCGCCUACGUGGGAUUAGCUAGUUGGUGAGGUAAUGGCUCACCAAGGCGACGAUCUCUAGCUGGUUUGAGAGGAUGAUCAGCCACACUGGAACUGAGACACGGUCCAGACUCCUACGGGAGGCAGCAGUGGGGAAUAUUGGACAAUGGGCGCAAGCCUGAUCCAGCCAUGCCGCGUGUGUGGAGAAGGCCUUCGGGUUGUAAAGCACUUUCAGCGAGGAGGAAGGGAUGUAUGUAAAUAGCAUGCAUUUUUGACGUUACUCGCAGAAGAAGCACCGGCUAACUCUGUGCCAGCCGCCGCAGUAAAAC
rnacentral:rRNA from 1 species